rnacentral:rRNA from 1 species
GACGAACGCUGGCGGCGUGCUUAACACAUGCAAGUCGAACGGAAAGGCCCUGCUUUUGUGGGGUGCUCGAGUGGCGAACGGGUGAGUAACACGUGAGUAACCUGCCCUUGACUUUGGGAUAACUUCAGGAAACUGGGGCUAAUACCGGAUAGGAGCUCCUGCUGCAUGGUGGGGGUUGGAAAGUUUCGGCGGUUGGGGAUGGACUCGCGGCUUAUCAGCUUGUUGGUGGGGUAGUGGCUUACCAAGGCUUUGACGGGUAGCCGGCCUGAGAGGGUGACCGGCCACAUUGGGACUGAGAUACGGCCCAGACUCCUACGGGAGGCAGCAGUGGGGAAUAUUGCACAAUGGGCGGAAGCCUGAUGCAGCAACGCCGCGUGCGGGAUGACGGCCUUCGGGUUGUAAACCGCUUUCGCCUGUGACGAAGCGUGAGUGACGGUAAUGGGUAAAGAAGCACCGGCUAACUACGUGCCAGCAGCCGCGGUGAUACGUAGGGUGCGAGCGUUGUCCGGAUUUAUUGGGCGUAAAGGGCUCGUAGGUGGUUGAUCGCGUCGGAAGUGUAAUCUUGGGGCUUAACCCUGAGCGUGCUUUCGAUACGGGUUGACUUGAGGAAGGUAGGGGAGAAUGGAAUUCCUGGUGGAGCGGUGGAAUGCGCAGAUAUCAGGAGGAACACCAGUGGCGAAGGCGGUUCUCUGGGCCUUUCCUGACGCUGAGGAGCGAAAGCGUGGGGAGCGAACAGGCUUAGAUACCCUGGUAGUCCACGCUGUAAACGGUGGGUACUAGGUGUGGGGUCCAUUCCACGGGUUCCGUGCCGUAGCUAACGCUUUAAGUACCCCGCCUGGGGAGUACGGCCGCAAGGCUAAAACUCAAAGGAAUUGACGGGGCCCCGCACAAGCGGCGGAGCAUGCGGAUUAAUUCGAUGCAACGCGUAGAACCUUACCUGGGUUUGACAUGGAUCGGGAGUGCUCAGAGAUGGGUGUGCCUCUUUUGGGGUCGGUUCACAGGUGGUGCAUGGCUGUCGUCAGCUCGUGUCGUGAGAUGUUGGGUUAAGUCCCGCAACGAGCGCAACCCUUGUUCACUGUUGCCAGCACGUUAUGGUGGGGACUCAGUGGAGACCGCCGGGGUCAACUCGGAGGAAGGUGGUGAUGACGUCAAGUCAUCAUGCCCCUUAUGUCCAGGGCUUCACGCAUGCUACAAUGGCUGGUACAGAGAGUGGCGAGCCUGUGAGGGUGAGCGAAUCUCGGAAAGCCGGUCUCAGUUCGGAUUGGGGUCUGCAACUCGACCUCAUGAAGUCGGAGUCGCUAGUAAUCGCAGAUCAGCAACGCUGCGGUGAAUACGUUCCCGGG